rnacentral:rRNA from 1 species
GAAUAUUGGACAAUGGGCGAAAGCCUGAUCCAGCCAUGCCGCGUGUGUGAAGAGGGUCUUCGGAUUGUAAAGCACUUUAAGUUGGGAGGAAGGGCAGUAAGCGAAUACCUUGCUGUUUUGACGUUACCGACAGAAUACGCACACGCUAACUCUGUGCCCGCAGCAGCGGUAAUACAGAGGGUGCAAGUGUUAAUCGGAAGUACUGGGAGUAAAGCGCGCGUAGGUGGUUCGGUAAGUUGGAUGUGAAAUCCCCGGGCUCAACCUGGGAACUGCAUCCAAAACUGGCGAGCUAGAGUAGGGCAGAGGGUGGUGGAAUUUCCUGUGUAGCGGUGCAAUGCGUAGAUAUAGGAAGGAACACCAGUGGCGAAGGCGACCACCUGGGCUCAUACUGACACUGAGGUGCGAAAGCGUGGGGAGCAAACAG